UUUUGAAUUCCUAAAAAAAAAAUCAUGGCAAGAAGAUCAGCAUGGCCCCCUGCCCCCCGCACUGUGGAAGUUUGAUAAUGUAUGUCCUAACCGCUUAAUUGAUUGAUUACCUCGCUCCAGCUUCCUGACGGUUGACUGGUUCCCUGAGGAUAUAAGGCUCAUAUCAGCGACCUCUUCUUCCAUCCUUCAGAGCAAGUCUAAAAGCAGCUGAUUAUCAUCCUGUUUGUUGGUUCUGAAUUGAGCCAGUCCUAAAGGACCAGGACUUCAUUUUCUGUUGUGAAGAACACAACACAACACAACACACCAGCCUGGCUGACAGGAGGCAGCGGAAAACUGAAGACCAGGAGAUUUUUCCAAAAUGGCCCCCUGACAUGCACAUCUAAGGCUGGCCCUGAUUGACAUCAAGUGCAGCAAUUAAACCCACCAGCUGAUGAAGAAUGGAAGCUCCAGUGAGUUGCGAUGCUUCCAGGGCAAUGAUCUGAGAGCCCGGAGAAAAGCAGAAGACAGAUGGCUGGAAGGUUAUAGGUCAUCAAGGACCAACUCCGGUGAUAAACAUUGGAAAU
rnacentral:lncRNA from 1 species